GCCAGGCGUGGUGGUGCAUGCCUGUAAUCCCAGCUACUUGGGAGGCUGAGACAGGAGAAUCGCUUGAACCCAGGAGGCAGAGGUUGCAGUGAGCCGAGAUCACACCACUGCACUCAAGCCUGGGCAACAGAGUGAGACUCUGUCUCAA
ensembl:misc_RNA Metazoa_SRP Metazoan signal recognition particle RNA